rnacentral:rRNA from 1 species
UACGAAGGGGGCGAGCGUUGUUCGGAAUUACUGGGCGUAAAGCGCGCGCAGGCGGACUGAUCAGUCUGGGGUGAAAUCUCACGGCUCAACUGUGAGCGGUCCCUGGAUACUGUCAGUCUUGAGAUGUCUAGAGGAGAGCGGAAUUCCCGGUGUAGUGGUGGAAUGCGUAGAUAUCGGGAAGAACACCAGUGGCGAAAGCGGCUCUCUGGGGACCAUCUGACGCUGAGGCGCGAAAGCGUGGGGAGCGAACCGG